GACGAACGCUGGCGGCGUGCUUAACACAUGCAAGUCGAACGGAAAGGCCCUGCUUUUGUGGGGUGCUCGAGUGGCGAACGGGUGAGUAACACGUGAGUAACCUGCCCUUGACUUUGGGAUAACUUCAGGAAACUGGGGCUAAUACCGGAUAGGAGCUCCUGCUGCAUGGUGGGGGUUGGAAAGUUUCGGCGGUGGGGGAUGGACUCGCGGCUUAUCAGCUUGUUGGUGGGGUAGUGGCUUACCAAGGCUUUGACGGGCAGCCGGCCUGAGAGGGUGACCGGCCACAUUGGGACUGAGAUACGGCCCAGACUCCUACGGGAGGCAGCAGUGGGGAAUUUUGCACAAUGGGCGGAAGCCUGAUGCAGCACCGCCGCGUGCGGGAUGCCGGCCUUCGAGUUGUAAACCGCUUUCGCCUGUGACGAAGCGUGCGUGACGGUAAUGGGUAAAGAAGCACCGGCUAACUACGUG
rnacentral:rRNA from 1 species